UAGUAACAGCCCCCACCAACGGGGGUGGCGCCUGCCCGUGCCAGAGGCUCCGCGCUUGCGCACCCGACGGUCCCUCGGGCGGCUGACCCAGGUUCGCCGAAACCGGCACCCUCGCGCGCUCGGCGCCCCCGGCCCGGGCUAUGGCCACGCGGGCCACUCGGCUACUUUGUGACUGUGCGGGGCACGGAGUUGGGGGUAGGGAGGCCUGUGCCCAGUGAGGUCAUAGGCGGACUGGACUGCCAGGUGGUAAAGCCCGGGGCCGCUGGGAGCUUGCGCCUGAAGUCUUCCCAUCCCUUCUUCAAUCGCCCAUUCCCCAACUCUCCCCACCCCCGGCCUUUAUUUUCAUUCCAGACGGUUCCAGCCCAACAGCCGCCAAACCCACGUGGGAUGGCGAGAUGCGAAAGUUUCCAGCUACGAACGAGAAACGGCGGACUGGAGGGCAAACUCCAAGGGGACAGAAAAGGGGACGGAGCCUGAGCCCGAGAGCUCCCAUCCCCCACACUCUGAGCGCUUCAGCCCCUGGGGCACCUCAAGGGACUACUUGCUUGUGCGUCAGCGAGUGCCAAAGCGUCACACACACGCCCCCUCCGCCUAGCCCCACUCCGCCCCUCCCCUUCUUUUUCCUCCUUCACCUCGUUCCCCUCCCCUUCCCUUCUCCUCCCCUCUCCUCCCCUCUCCUCCCCUCCCCUCCUCUCCCCUCCCCUCGCGUCGCGAGUUCCAACCGGGCAGCGAGACCUAGCCGACUCAGGGCGUCAGAGUACUGGAGAGCUAAAAAUAUAACCGAUCCACUCCUCCAACUGGGCAGGAGCAAAGAGCCACAACAGAAAUUAGCUUUGGAGAAGAGUGAUUGGAUGGAUGCCAAGGGCAAAUGAUUUGCUAUGUAUUGACCUGAUGUGAGUGAAUUCUAGUA